CCUACGGGUGGCAGCAGUAGGGAAUCUUCCACCAUGGACGAAAGUCUGAUGGAGCAACGCCGCGUGAGUGAAGAAGGGUUUCGGCUCGUAAAGCUCUUUUGGUAGUGAAGACAGAUAGAGGUAGUAACUCGCCUUUAUUUUACGGUAAUUACUUAGAAAGUCACGGCUAACUACUUGCCAGCCGCCGCGGUAAUACUUAGGUGGCAAGCGUUGUCCGGAUUUAUUGGGCGUAAAGCGAGUGCAGGCGGUUCAAUAAGUCUGAUGUGAAAGCCUUCGGCUCAACCGGAGAAUUGCAUCCGAAACUGUUGGACUUGAGUGCAGAAGAGGAGAGUGGAACUCGAGGUGUAGCGGUGGAAUGCGUAGAUAUAUGGAAGAACACCAGUGGCGAAGGCGGCUCUCUGGUCUGCAACUGACGCUGAGGCUCGAAAGCAUGGGUAGCGAACAGGAUUAGAUACCCGUGUAGUC
rnacentral:rRNA from 1 species